GUAUAGCCCUGAUUGCAACGGCAUCCUUUUAUGGUCUCGUUUUUUAGAGACCAGAAAAGAUAGAGUGAAAAGCAGGAAUAAAA
rfam:Flavobacterium sp. FPG59 Contig_117, whole genome shotgun sequence.